GUUUCUGUUGGAGAUCUAAAGACUCCUGUUGAAUCCACUGAUGCUGAACCUACAAGAGCAGUUGUGACCACAGACAUGAAGACUACACAAAUAUGGGCCCUAAAUCAGUUUUGUCUUUCUAAGGACUAAAGUUGACUUAAUGGUUUGUUGUGUGUACAAAAAUAAUGCAGAAUAUAUGAUCCUUUACUGAGGUAUAACUAUGCACAUUUCUCUCAUUUAGCUCAGUUUGAUGAAUGUAAAUGCUGAAAACAUGGUUUCCUUUGUUCUUUUUUUUUAUGUGACAUUUUUAAACUUGUGUUUACUACGUCCCUGUUUGGACAAUUUGUAUUAUUAAAGAUUAUUACACAUCUGCCUCUUGUCCUUGUGUUUUUGCAAAUAGCAUAACAGGAUUCUGUCUGCUGUGUCAACUGCCUGCUCGAUCAAAUGGUUGAGCACAUUUUAAGUCCCUAUAUUUUAUUGAGGGGAGACUAACUAAACUCAAGCUGAUUCAGCCAUCUCUACUAUUUGGUUGAGCUAUGUUAUGCAAAAAAGACUAGAUGUCAGCGUGUCAAUAAGCAGCACUUGUCACAACACAUCUUCUUAGACGGAUGUCAGAGAGAAAGAAAUCACUCCUGC